UAACGUCCGUCGUGAAGAGGGAAACAACCCAGACCGCCAGCUAAGGUCCCAAAGUCAUGGUUAAGUGGGAAACGAUGUGGGAAGGCCCAGACAGCCAGGAUGUUGGCUUAGAAGCAGCCAUCAUUUAAAGAAAGCGUAAUAGCUCACUGGUCGAGUCGGCCUGCGCGGAAGAUGUAACGGGGCUAAACCAUGCACCGAAGCUGCGGCAGCGAACGUAUCACCCAAGACAACUUUACGGAGUUGACGAUUGACGGAGCGAAGCGACGUCAAAGCGUUCAUUAAAGUCGAGUUGGCUUAGGGAUACGUUCGUUGGGUAGGGGAGCGUUCUGUAAGCCUGUGAAGGUGUGUCGUGAGGCAUGCUGGAGGUAUCAGAAGUGCGAAUGCUGACAUAAGUAACGAUAAAGCGGGUGAAAAGCCCGCUCGCCGGAAGACCAAGGGUUCCUGUCCAACGUUAAUCGGGGCAGGGUGAGUCGACCCCUAAGGCGAGGCCGAAAGGCGUAGUCGAUGGGAAACGGGUUAAUAUUCCCGUACUUGGUGUUACUGCGAAGGGGGGACGGAGAAGGCUAUGUUGGCCGGGCGACGGUUGUCCCGGUUUAAGCGUGUAGGUGUGUGUUCCAGGUAAAUCCGGUUCACUUUAACACUGAGGCGUGACGACGAGGCACUACGGUGCUGAAGCAACAAAUGCCCUGCUUCCAGGAAAAGCCUCUAAGCAUCAGGUAACACGAAAUCGUACCCCAAACCGACACAGGUGGUCAGGUAGAGAAUACCAAGGCGCUUGAGAGAACUCGGGUGAAGGAACUAGGCAAAAUGGUGCCGUAACUUCGGGAGAAGGCACGCUGACACGUAGGUGAAGUGAUUUACUCAUGGAGCUGAAGUCAGUCGAAGAUACCAGCUGGCUGCAACUGUUUAUUAAAAACACAGCACUGUGCAAACACGAAAGUGGACGUAUACGGUGUGACGCCUGCCCGGUGCCGGAAGGUUAAUUGAUGGGGUCAGCG
rnacentral:rRNA from 1 species